rnacentral:rRNA from 1 species
UUUCUCCGCCGGCGACCGGCGCGACGGGUGAGUAACACGUAUGCAACCUGCCCCUGUCAGGGGGGACAACCCGCCGAAAGGGCGGGGCUAAAACCCCGCGUACAUGCCACCGGGGCAGUCCCGGAGGCAGGAAAGGCUUCGGCCGGACAGGGAUGGGCAUGCGGCGCAUUAGGCAGUAGGCGGGGUAACGGCCCACCUAACCGACGAUGCGUAGGGGUUCUGAGAGGAAGGUCCCCCACACUGGUACUGAGACACGGACCAGACUCCUACGGGAGGCAGCAG